CCUACGGGAGGCAGCAGUGAGGAAUAUUGGUCAAUUGGCUUACGCCUGAACCAGCAAAGUCGCGUGAGGGAAGACUGCCCUAUGGGUUGUACACCUCUUUUGUAAGGGAGCAACGCCGGCUACGUGUAGCCGGACUGAGAGUACCUGAAGACAAAGCAUCGGCUACCUCCGUGCCAGCAGCCUCGGUAAUACUGAGGUUGCGAGCGUUAUCCGAGUUUAUUGGGUUUAAGGGGUAAGUAGGCGGGAUGCAAAGUAGACGUGAAAAUCGCGGGGCUCAACCACGCUCCGCCGUUGAAACUGUUGUUCUUGAGUGGGCGAGAAGUAGUCGGAAGGCGUGGUGUAGCGGUGAAAUGCAUAGAUAUCACGCAGAACUCCGAUUGCGAAGGCAGCAUACCGGCGCCCAACUGACGCUGAAGCACGAAAGCGUGGGUAUCGAACAGGAUUAGAUACCCGUGUAGUC
rnacentral:rRNA from 1 species